rfam:Dipodomys ordii contig_32887, whole genome shotgun sequence.
GGGAAGGUAGCUCAGCCGUAGAGUGCUUGCCUUGCAAGCAUGAGGCCCUGGGUUCGAUUCCUCAGCACCA